UUUGUUUUCAACUUCUACAACUCCUUAAAUCCUCUGCACCAAAUGCCAAACUCCCUCAGGAGUGCUGUCCAGCACAUUGAUCAUGGCAAAAUGGGAUCAAAGCCAGGCAAAACCCACCUGCCUUUCACCUGUCCUUCAGGGCAGCACCACUCAUUAACAGUGAUGCCCCCCGUGAAAUCAUCUCCCCCUUCCAACACCAAAUCCAUAGAAAUGCAUAGCACAUGUUUAACAAAAACUGACACUUGUUCCUCCUUCCCCUGAUAAGGUCAGUGCCCCAUUUUUCAUUUAUUCAGGAUGCACAAGGCUGAGGAAUCAGCAGAGACCCCAUCAGCCACGUGGAGAAGGUCGGUAAGUCUGAAAUAACAAAUCCAGCUAUCAAUCCAGAGGCUGUGAAAGGGAGGAUCCAUAAAACCCAUGGGCAGAAAUACAAGUUUCUGGGCGUAUUAAGCUCUGAAUAAAUUAUCCACGUGGCCACUGAACUUUGCAGUGAUCUUUCCACUGACUUCAGGUCAGAUCCCUCCUUAAAAUCUGCUCUGUGAAAUGACUGGUACAGAAACCAGAAACGAGCAGGAGAAAAAACGUGACUUGUUCUUUCACCUUUUGGCAGCUUCCUGCUCUGGGUUCAGCUUUCACCGAUUUAUUCCAGAGGCCUUUGGCCCAUUGGUGCAGAACUGGUCAAUUUGCAUGUGCAAAUUUCUGUUCUUUGUCCUGUCUCUGUUCCAUUGUGAGAGUUCAGUUUUUGCAUUUGGUAAAUAGAAAUACUUUGUAUUUGGAGAAAAAACUGGGCCACACACACAAAUCUUCUGUUUACUUCAAGUAACAGCAAGUAGUAAAAAAAAAAAAACAAAACAAAACAAACAUGUUCCCCAUUAAAUCAGUAAAAUCGGUAUUAAUUCACACAGAAAAUCCACUUCAUCAAAAGUUUUCAAUUUUGUGUCUCUCCGUGUUAUAAAGAUGUUAAUUUCUUUAAAUCCCAAGGACUAUCAUUGUUUUAGCUCAUAUUUAGACACAGAGACUGUACCAUAAAAUUAAGAACAUUCCUCCCUUUCCUUCUGCAUUGUCAUUAGAGGGAAAAAAAUUACAAAGCUGAAUUUCCUUGAAGGGGACUUCCCCAAAACUUUUAAAUUUGUAAACAUUUAAGAGUCGUACAUAAUUUAAAUAUUGAGUAUAAUUUCCUGUGUUCAUGCUGGGUAAAAAUCUGGGUGUUGAUUACUUUUCUGUGAGCUGUUUUUUCUGAAGGAGCACAGUAUCACUGGGGCAAUCAAAGCAGUUUGGGGCAUGGGGCUGUUUAGCAUCCUGCUGAUGAGUUAUGCCAUCAAUACCAAACUGAUUUCCAAGAUAAACCCGACUGAGGCAUAACAAAGCCCGAGUGAUGGCCAACUGUGCUUAUGUGAUCAUCUUACAGUGGUUACACAGCUCAGAGCUGCUUUUAUCACCGGCCUGCUGAUGCAUUUAUUGUGGCCUUUGCAGAGAAAAGGAUUCAAUUAAAAAGGCAUCGUGGUGUUAUCAGCCAAAUUCUUCAGCUCGGCUCCUGGUCGUUAAAGCAGUUACUCAGUUUACACUGAAUGAAUCGAAGAAAAAUGGAAGCAGGAGUGAUUUGUUAGAAAAGCAAAUAGAUGUGGGUACAGUUGCAGGAGGAGGACGUGAGGCCCGGGGUGAGCACAGCAUCUCCCAUGUACAAACAGCUGCUAAUCUUAUCAAUGCACAGAUGCCUCCGUGCUGCAUUUAAAAGCAAGCUGCCUUUAUUCCAGCUCCCACUCCAUUGAAAUCUGCUAUAAAUACCGACUUUAUAACACUGACCCAAUGUAUAAAUUGCUCAGUUCAAAAGAAAAGCUUUUUUGGAGGAAGGGGGGAACGGAGUAAACGCAGUGUGUUGUAAAAGCUAAGUGGUUUUAUUGGCACUUUAAAAUACCCUUUCUGCUGGACUCUGUCAGCUCUGAUUAUAUAUAACGACACUGGUUAUGUAUUAAAAAUGUGUGUCAAUA